rnacentral:rRNA from 1 species
UACGUAGGGGGCAAGCGUUGUCCGGAUUUAUUGGGCGUAAAGAGCGUGUAGGCGGCCAGGUAGGUCGGUUGUGAAAACUGGAGGCUCAACCUUCAGACGUCGACCGAAACCCCCUGGCUAGAGUCCGGAAGAGGAGAGUGGAAUUCCUGGUGUAGCGGUGAAAUGCGCAGAUAUCAGGAAGAACACCCGUGGCGAAAGCGGCUCUCUGGAACGGUACUGACGCUGAGACGCGAAAGCGUGGGGAGCGAACAGG